AAAAAUAGGAAUAGCUAAUGAAAAAGGCUAAAUUAACCUUGAAAAUUGUCAUAUAGAAAUAGCAUAUUAUAGGAGGUUUGGUAUUUUGGCAUGAAUGCUAACAUGUAUUUGUAAAAAAAACUUUGAUUAUUAAAACUUCAAGUUUACUAGAUACAAAAGCAGCCGUCCGACCGGCUAUGACAUACGGAUCCGAAUGCUGGCCACUCAAAAAGCAGCAUGUACAUCAAUUGCACUGCGCAGAGAUGAAGAUGCUCAGAUUAAACUGCAGGAGAGCUGUCUGCGGUGGUACGGACAUGUUAUGAGGUGACCAUACAACCACAUGAGCAGAAAAGUGUUAGAUAUAGUAACUAAACCUAGAGGACAAGGAAGACCCCGAAUCAAAUGGAUGUCUAUAGUAAAUAAGAACCUGAAAGAAGCCCACAUAAACAAAGAGACGACCCAGGACCGAGCAGGCCACCUGGAGACACAUGAUAUGGAGGGCCGACCCCAAAUAAAACGGGAAAAGGUGAGAUGUGCUUGAGUCGUGAGGAGGCGAGAGCGGGUCGCGGCGGAAGGACACGGAUUCCAAAAAUAACCGUAACCGUAACUAGAAUUAGAUACAUUAAUUUGAUUGUAUAAAAAUACGCAAUUAUUUUUAUACUUUUUAGUGCAUAUUAUAUCUAUUGUUUUGGAAAUUGGAAUUUUUCAAAGAAAAAGAUUUGUAUCAACAAUCAAUCGAAAUUCGGUGACUGGGCUACAUCAAGCAUUCAUGGGAAUAGAAUGCGUCUUUAUUAUAUACCUAAU